rnacentral:tRNA from 1 species
AGGAUUAUAGUUUAACUUAAAACAUUUGAUUUGCAAUCAAAUAAUAUUGAAUUAUAUCAAUUUAUCUUA